rnacentral:rRNA from 1 species
AAUGAACGUUGGCGGCGUGGAUUAGGCAUGCAAGUCGUGCGAGAAUCGUAGCAAUACGAGGACAGCGGCGAAAGGGAGAGGAAUACGUGGUUACCUACCCUCAGGUUCAGGAUAGCUAUGGGAAACUAUAGGUAAUACUGAAUAAUAUCUCCGGAUCAAAGGUGUGAUUCCACCUGAGGAGGGGACCGCGUCCUAUUAGCUAGUUGGUGAGGUAACGGCUUACCAAGGCGAAGAUGGGUAUGGGAUGUGAGAGCAUGAUCCCACUCACUGGGACUGAGACACUGCCCAGACACCUACGGGUGGCUGCAGUCGAGAAUCUUCGGCAAUGGGCGAAAGCCUGACCGAGCGGUGCCGCGUGCGGGAUGAAGGUCUUCGGAUUGUAAACCGCUGUCGGAGGGGAUGAGGUGUAUGGGAGCAAUCUCCUGUAUUUGACAGAGCCUCGGAGGAAGCACGGGCUAAGUUCGUGCCAGCAGCCGCGGUAAUAC